rnacentral:rRNA from 1 species
UACGUAGGGGGCAAGCGUUGUCCGGAAUCAUUGGGCGUAAAGCGCGUGUAGGCGGCUGGCUAAGUCCGCUCUGAAAGCCCGGGGCUCAAUCUCGGGAGGCGGGUGGAUACUGGUCAGCUCGAGUCCGGAAGAGGAGUGUGGAAUUCCUGGUGUAGCGGUGAAAUGCGCAGAUAUCAGGAGGAACACCAAUGGCGAAGGCAGCACUCUGGGACGGUACUGACGCUGAGACGCGAAAGCGUGGGGAGCGAACAGG